AGAGUUUGAUCAUGGCUCAGAUUGAACGCUGGCGGCAUGCUUAAUACAUGCAAGUCGAACGGUAACAGAUUCUUCGGAAUGCUGACGAGUGGCGGACGGGUGAGUAAUACAUAGGAAUCUGCCCAUGUAGUGGGGGACAACUUGGGGAAACUCAAGCUAAUACCGCAUAAUUCCUACGGGAUAAAGAGGGCCACUGCUUGCAAGCUCUUGCUACUGGAUGAGCCUAUGUCGGAUUAGUUAGUUGGUAAGGUAAUGGCUUACCAAGACAGCGAUCCGUAGCUGGUUUGAGAGGAUGAUCAGCCACACUGGGACUGAGACACGGCCCAGACUCCUACGGGAGGCAGCAGUAGGGAGUAUUGGACAAUGGGCGCAAGCCUGAUCCAGCAAUGCCGCGUGUGUGAAGAAGGCCUGCGGGUUGUAAAGCACUUUCAAUUGGGAAGAAAGAUUAUGAGUUAAUACCUUAUAAUAUUGACGUACCAA
rnacentral:rRNA from 1 species